CUAUGUUUGUGAGAAAUCAACCCGCGGUCUUUCUUCUAUCUUAUCCAGACGUUCCUUUCCAGCGCGGCGGGGCGGCGCCCUUCACCGCGGCGACAGCUCCAGGUGGGCUCGCGGGAGACGGCGCUGGGCUUGGGAGAUGCGGCUGCGAGGGCUCCGCAUCAGGCAGCGACAGCGAGGCGGGGAUGCGGCGCUGCGCUUCCGGGAUGCAGCGGCGAGGCGUCGAGGCAGCGCUGCGCUUCCGGGAUGCAGCGGCGAGGCGUCGAGGCAGCGCUGCGCUCGGGCGCCACAUCAGGCGGCAGCAGCGAGGCGGGAGGCGCACACGGAGAUGAAGGAGGGGAAAAUGGAGAGUCGGCCGGGGCGAGGAGUUCGCCGACGUCGAAGCCACGGACCCCGGCGCUGCAAGCUUGCAGGGGGCGGUGGCCAUGGCCGGGAGGCGGCGCUGAGUUCGGGCGCCGCAUGCCUCCUCUGUCGCUCCUUGUUUCUUUAUUCCCCAACUCCUCUCUUGCACGUCGUCAUCUUGCCGCCCACGCAGCAAAGAGAUCGAGGAAGAGGCGAGAGUCGGGUCAAUCGAUAUGUCGCACGAGGGUGCGGCACUCCCUGUUCCAUCUAGAUCAACAAACGCAGAGGGAGGUGGAAGAAGAGCCACGACCUGCGAGCAGGAGGCUGCCUCCUAGCACGCAUCUGACUGCGGCUAUUUUAUCCAUGAGCGGGAGGUUAAGAGAAGCACAUCUCUGAAAUUCACAGUUUUGAACCCAAAGAGACGCAUCUAGACAAUGGUUGCAUCAGUGGUUCCAGUGUCAUAUACGCCAACAUGGUGGCCAAUCUUAUUGAGAAGAAUGACACAACAGCAGGCAGUGGAUCAGAGCCCAAACUCUCACUUGUUAGGAUAAAGGUGGACUACUCUGUGUUCUUAACAAUACACCCCCAACGGUUUGGUCAAAAGUAUGUUGAGAAGGUUGCCAAUCCACAAGUCAUUGUUGUUUUCUGAAGAUCAGCAAAAUGGCGCCAAAAUAUGCACGACAAUGCUUGAGGUUCCGGAGAACUCUACCCAAAUGAGCUUAAUCAACACACUGUCGAAGCUCUGGUUCCGGAAAGUAACUUGAAUAUGCAGGUUCUUCCACUGGACAACCUGGACACUGCCAUUCAUGUUUUCGUCAACAAGGCAGACAAUAUGGCAUUUCACUCUUGCCUGCAGAAGAACACCGAAGAGGCAAUAGUAGAACGAGUUGACCAUCACCAAGGUAGAUACUGCCGUCGAAGAUGAAGAUGCAAUGAUGUCAUUGUGACAGGUGAAGAAAAAGUAUGUCUUAUGUUUACUUGAUUCCGUAGAUUAAUAUCUCUUUUGGUUGGCAAGAAUGACCUGGACACUGCCCUUCAUGUUUUCGUCAACAAGGCAGACAAUAUGGCAUUUCACUCUUGCCUGAAGAAGAACACCGAAGAGGCAAUAGUAGGCAAAACUACCAAUAUAUUAGACUCCACUCUACCGAUUGAGAACUGAAAAGAAAUUUCUCCACCUGAAUUCGAAGAACAAGUUGACCAUCACCAAGGUAGAUACUGCUGUCGAAGAUGAAGAUGCAAUGGUGUCAUUGUGACAGGUGAAGCAAAAGUAUGUCUUAUGUUUACUUGAUUCCGUAGAUUAAUAUCUCUUUUGGUUGGCAAGAAUGGAUCAGACCUAUUUUUGUUUGAAGUUAAGAUUUUUCUUCCUGAGGUAGCGAAAAUCUUUUGUCGGACUACCUCCCCCCCCCCCCCCCCCCCCCCCCCCCCCCCCCCCCACACCCCUGCGUUGCAAACAAAUUGAUAUCGAAUAGUGGGAUUGAAUUACUGUAAAUAUUCAUAACUCUAGAACGGAAAAUUGUACACAGUAUCGCCUUCAAUAAUACAUAAUAAUGAUUGUUGAUGCCACCAACCCCAACUGUAUUGUGAUAAUGAUAUUGAACUGUUUUAAUUUGGUUGUGUACUCAAAUCUGAAAGCAUUCUAUUUUAUUUAGGUCCUGUACAUAUGUACCUGUAGCAUAGCUAUUUGAGAUAUGCCACUACAGUAUUAUUAGUCCUUUCAUGUCUCUGAAAUGGGGCUUUACAUUCUGUGUGUUCUUAUUGUACAUCAACAAUAAGAGCAGAGGAAGGCAACUGAUGCAUCUGAGUUCUCUUCUUAUUUCAAAGAAAGGCAUCAACUUGAUGCAUCUGAUUUCUUGGAACUAAAGCAUAAUACAAUGAAAGGCGACAAUACGAUACAGUCGAUACUUGCUUGACCCAUGUGAAGUUGAAAGUGUUUCCUUAAAUCCCAUGUUUGUUGAUCUAAUAAUAUUCACACGUAAUUUGUUUCUGAACAGAAAGAUUGACUAGGUGAGUAUUAUGUAUUGAGGUAGGGAAAAUUGUGGUCGUGCAGCCCUAUAGGUACACUGUAGGAUGCGAAACUUAUUGAUGUAUUUUUGUGCUAAUUUUUUGCAUCAAUGAUUGAUUUUUCUAUCAAUUGUAAAGAAAUCCUCACCUUGAAGAAUGAAGCCAAUGGUGAACAAGGAUGUUCUUUCUACCAAAGAACCAGGCCAUGCCGAGGUAGUGGUGUGGUUCGGAUGAUGGUGGUGAGGCUAAAAUAUGGGAGAUGACUUGGAGUUAUUUUAAGCAUGAGUUUUGUACUGGUGUGGUUCCUUAAGUCACCCCUUUCAGGUCAAACCCCUCUAUGUUAUCGAUCACCUUUUUCAUUUUGUGUUCAGUGAUGUGGAAUUUAGUACACUAUUUUUUGCCA